rnacentral:tRNA from 1 species
GAGGGUUUAGCUCAGUCGGUUAGAGCGUUGGGUUGUGGUUCCAAAGGUCGCGGGUUCGAUCCCCGUAAUCCUCC